ensembl:lncRNA
CACAGAGGAAAUAAGAGGAGAAAUUGACCCAGGAAGCAAAGUAAAAACACAGAUGUGUACAAAGAGAAUUGGGAAUGUGAUUGGUUAUUCUUCAGAGAUGACUCUUCUGUGACCAUGGACACUGAGCUUCAGGGGCGAGUGAGCUGGCCUCCAGGGCUGCAGAGCUGGCCACACAAGCAGGUGCCCCUGGGGAGCUCUCACCUGGAUAAAUUCUCUGCCUCUGGUUUCUAGAAAUCUGAUUUUGGUACGGCCCUGAGAGUUUUGUCUCUCAAGGACAGACACAAAUUAACUCGACUCACAGUGGCUGAUGUAUAAACCUGAUGAUUUAUCCAUCAAUCCUGGGAGACGUGCCUAUUGAAAGGUUGGGGUGGCACAUCUCAGCUUACAGCCUCAUUCUUCUGCAGGCUGGUCACCAGGGCAGCUGGACGACAGAUGCUGCUCCGUCCAGAGUGAACUGAAACAAGGCCAGUCUGGGGAGCUCCAUCAUCUACUCUUGGGCAGCAAACCGAGAAUGCCAAGCCACGCUGCCCUCCCCUCAUGCGGGGCCUUGUGCUGGUCUGAGCCCAGAUUUCUCUGCCCGACCUGAAGCUUUCUUUCUCUGACAAGGCCUAAUACCGUUGAUCCGUUCCUGUUGCUUAACUUAAAAUCCCUUUCUGUCCUGCUUCCCCAAUAUCAGUCCCAGCUGGCAUUUGACCUGUGCCCAGCUCAUCAUCCUCUCAGUGUGGGGAUCCUCCAGUGGCUGGUGACGUCCAGAUUUUACCAGCUCCACUCCAGGGCUUUAAGAAACAGUGUCAGUGCAGCCCCAAAUUCUGGCUCUAGAUGGCCACCCAGGGCUUCUAUCACAUUGGCAUAGGCUUUCCGAAAUGAAGAAGUGAGACUUUGGAGGGAGCAAGCUGGGUGCUUUAUAACAGCACGUUUUCUCCUCUUUUCUACGGCCAUAUGGGGCUCUCUAGGGCUUCAUCUGAAUGUCUCGUUUCAAAGCAGCAGCUCCUCUGCAAGAAGAGAUAUCUGUUCUGAGAAAAGCAAGCAGCCAGGUCCAGACAGAUGGGAGAGCAGCGUGCUCUGGAGGUGCCCGUGUUACCUGGAGAACACGCUUCCUUGUCGAUGUCAAACCACUUUGGUGCCGAGCCGCUGAAGCAUUUCUGCAAAUUGUCCCCGAUAGGCGGGUUCCUCGGACAGCUUCACGCGAUAGGGAAACUCACAUCUGAUGAAGGGUCGCUGCCCACCAGAGACAGGCAUGCACUCCAGCAUAUGGCCAUAUGGCCAUCUUUUUUUUUCUUUGUAGGGCCACACCCGCAGCCUAUGGAAGCUCCCGAACUAGGGUUUGAAUCCGAGCUGCCGCUGCCGGCCUACACCACAGCCACCGCCCCUCUGGAUCUGGGCCAUAUCUCUGACCUACACUGCAGCCUGUGGCAAUGCAGGAUCCUAAACCCACGGAGCAAGGCCAGGAUCCAACCUGCAUCCUAGAGACAAGGUCAGGUUCUUAACCCAUGGAGCCACAAGGGGAACUCCACUACCGUCCUCUCUGCAGAGAAGGAAGCGUUUUCAAACGGCCUUUCACACACUUACUUCACUGGGAGCUUUCAUCAUCACCCGAAGGGCAGACAGCAGUGUCCACCACGUGUGUGGAAAUAAAGAUGGCCCAAGGUCACUUCGCCUGAGACCAGAUCCUAACCAGCUGCCUCGGGGCCCAGGCUCCUCUGAGCGUCCCCUGGCCCCUGGGGAGGCUGUGCUGUCCUCAGUGUGCCUGACCUUGACCUGAUGUGCAGGGUAACAGCAGAGGCAAAGCAAUCAGCUCAUCUAGGAGGCCCUCCUGCUGGUGGGUGUGACCGGGAGCUGGGGACGGGGUGGGGACCAUCAAAAGUCCAUGUCUUCGCAAAAUUGUUAAACUUGUGAAAUUGGCAUGACCUUCAUAUUGAGAGGGAGGGAGUAGGCACAGGGGGCUGCAGACGUCCCAGGAAGGGAUCGUAGACGGGGAGCGAAACCUGGGGGCCACUGGGAGACCACUGUGAGUUCACACCUGCUCAAGAGAGCCGUCAGCACAAGGCAGGCUGACUUGACUAGUGGAGGGGCGAGAACAGCCUCAGGUCGCUGGGUGGGGGAUGGACGAGCCCUGCAUUCGGAUUCAGACCGAGGGCAGGCGUUUGAGGACCGCCCUGUUGCUGACUUGAAUACACACCUUAUUGGACACUAAGGAGGAGCUACUGCUGGAAGAAAGAGGAAGAGGCGGGCUUGUCUGACCCCCACUCCCCUUGGAGGACAAAACUGUAGCCUGGAUCCAGUGGGUCCUACGAAAAAAAAUUUGAAAACUGGGGAUGAAGAUUCUACACGGGCCUGGAGGAAGGCAGCCAAGGGCCCUCGGGGAGGAGACUUCGCGUCCUCCUUCUGUGGCAAGUGGGCUUGCGGCUGCUUCCGCAUCCUUCUUCUGCCUUGAGCAGAGGGUUUAGAGUUGAGUCCAGACCCUGAGUGGCGCCCGAAGACCCACUGGGUCUANUGUGCAUUCGAGGGCUGGGCUUCUUGGCCAGGAUGGGAAACCAGUGAUGCCACCCUCCCAAUGCUGCCCCGUGUGCCUUCUGUGGACUCACACCUGAGCCCUCACACCUGUAAAGCUCUAGUGCCUGUGAUGUGUGGUUUGUUGGGGGAGGAGGGGGACAGGAUAGAGCCAAGAGGUGCAGGAGGCCAGUUCAGUCCACGCCUAGAAGCUUCUCUCCUCUGGCUCUUCCAGUCCUUGUCGUUUCUCAGCCGACCUGAGGGCGGGCACCAGCUGGCUGCCAUCUGAGUACAGAGAAAACCUCCCUUCCCUCCGACCCGCAGGAGGUUGCAUCGAGGAGAAGAAAGAUAAAACAGUUUUCAACUUUUCCCCAAAUGUCCACACUUCUCGUAUUGAAAAUGUUCCAACCAAACCAAGGUUGAAAGACUAAUCUGCACACAGAUGCUUCAAGUCACUUUGUGCCUCGUUUUUUCUCUGCAUGUGUCAUAUACAUACAGGCAUACUGUACCGCAGGUAUUAUAUGUCUAUGUAGUUAUAUGUGCAAGUGUGUGUGUAUCUGUGUCUGUGUCUAUAUCCUCCCCUUAGAUUUUUUGCUAUUUGGAAGUUGCAGGUCUCCUGAUGCUUCUCUUAAAUAUUUGAAAUAAAGACCUUGUCUUUUAUAACCACGGAUACCACUACUGCACCCAAGAAGUUUAUCUUUAAUAUAAUAAUAUCCUCUAAUGUUCAGCCCAUAGUCAAACUGCCCCAAUUAUAGAUUGUUUUCAAAUCCGGGAUUCAGUCAAGAGCACAAAUUGCAUUCAGCUGUCACCGCUCUUUCACCUUCUCUCAUUUAAAGGAGCCAUUGUUUUCUUGUCUUUCAUGACGGAUAUUUUCGAAGCGACCAGGCUGGACCCUCCGCCCCCUCCCCACCAGGAGCCCAAAGUUUGGGACAUGGUUUUCUCGUGACGGGUUUGAGGAUGGACAUUUUUGGCAGGAGUGUUGCAUGGAUGCGCGUGGAGCACGGCACCCCAUCAGGCGACAUAUGUGAUGAACUUGAGUUUGUUCCAUUCCUGGUGAAGUGGAGUUACCACUUCAAAAUAUACGUUGUCCUUUAGUAAGUAACCUUGAAGUGACAUUUUGAGGUGGCGUGAAUAUCCUGUUCCUCAAAAGCCUCUUACCUAGCGGUUUACGCAUCUCUAUUAAUUAGCUGGCAUUAUUUCUUAAAAAAGACUGGUCCCCUUACCUCUUUUUAAAAAGUAUAAUUUUAGAUUCAUAAAUACUUUUUAAAAAAUUCAAUGUGUUAUAAUCAAAAUUUUUUCCCACCCAAAUCAUUCCAAAUUUGUUCAGUGAGAGGCUAUUUUCACACGCUCCAGCUGGUCUUCAGGCACCUCCCUCUUUCUGACACCAAGACAAUCCAGGCUGGCCUUGUACUUUCCCUGCUCCAGGCCUGGAGUCAGUAAUUUUUCCCUGUGGAGGAGAAAGGUCCUUAGAAACCAAGCUCAGGGUACUCGGUGUGCUUACUGCAGCUGUGUCAUUCUUUCCAUAUCUGCUCAAUGGAAAGAGAUUCAAAAUAUGUUUCUUAAAGAAAGGAUGAGCUCAUGCAGAUGAGGUAUUUACUUCCAACCCAGCAUCGGAAGGUUUGUCCUGCCAUUCCCACAUCUCUCAUGAGCUUACCUCCCGUCACUGCAGGAAUCCGUGUUUUAAGAAUCCUUGUUUCCAACAUGUGUAUCGACUCACUUGCCAAGUCCUAGAACACAUGUGAUGAUUGCACCAAUAUCAUUAUUGAAAACAAACCUCAGUAAAUUCAGCUUUUUUUUUGCGAUUCUUUUGUCCUUAAAAUAUAUCCCACUGGAGGAUGUACAAUCUGAAUACACUUUCCAAAAGUCACUUGAAUUCGCUUCGUUUUCUAUGUGGUUAUGAGGUCAACGUGAUAUACAGUUAGGUUCAUCUGCUUCUGCUUGGAGUCAACUGUAUUUGAUCCCAAUGACAAAAGCCAAGGAAAAUAGAAAAGAGAGUCACUGUAUAUAAAAUAUCCUUAUAGCACCAUGACGAUGAAAGAUAUUAUCCAGGAAAUUGAAGUGCAAAUUUUAAUUUCAACUGAACAGAAGAUAUUUCUGGAGAGACGUGGUAACAUAAGGUUGAGAGAACAGCUGUGUGCACUUUGUUUUUCCAUCACUGCUCUUCCGCGCUGUCUUCAGAGCUGUACGGAAACUUCCUAAAUCGUCACACAGUAAACAAGGGCAAAGAUGAGUCUGAGAUGCAGGAGUGGGUCCUGAAAGACGAUCAUAGACCAAGCAAGAAAAAAAUGCUGGAGCUCCCUUCGUGGCUCAGAGGUUAAUGACCCGACUAGCAUCCAUGAGGACAUGGGUUCAAUCCCUGGCCUUGAUCAGUGGGUUAAGGGUCCGGCAUUGCCGGAGCUGUGGUGUAGACCGGCAGCUACAGCUCUGAUUAGACCCCUAGCUUGGGACCCUCCAUAUGCUGUAGGUGCAGCCCUAAAA